rnacentral:rRNA from 1 species
UCCAGACUCCUACGGGAGGCAGCAGUGGGGGAUAUUGCACAAUGGGGGGAACCCUGAUGCAGCGACGCCGCGUGGGUGAAGGAGCGUUUCGGCGCGUAAAGCCCUCUCGGCAGGGAAGAAGGAGGACGGUACCUGACUAAGAAGCCCCGGCUAACUACGUGCCAGCAGCCGCGGUAAUACGUAGGGGGCAAGCGUUAUCCGGAUUUACUGGGUGUAAAGGGGGCGCAGACGGCAGCGCAAGCCAGGAGUGAAAGCCCGGGGCCCAACCCCGGGACUGCUCUUGGAACUGCGCGGCUGGAGUGCAGGAGGGGCAGGCGGAAUUCCUGGUGUAGCGGUGAAAUGCGUAGAUAUCAGGAGGAACACCGGUGGCGAAGGCGGCCUGCUGGACUGCGACUGACGUUGAGGCCCGAAAGCGUGGGGAGCAAACAGGAUUAGAUACCCCAGUAG